rnacentral:rRNA from 1 species
UACGUAGGGCGCAAGCGUUAUCCGGAAUUGAUUGGCGUAAAGAGCUCGUAGGCGGUUUGUCGCGUCUGCCGUGAAAGUCCGGGGCUCAACUCCGGAUCUGCGGUGGGUACGGGCAGACUAGAGUGAUGUAGGGGAGACUGGAAUUCCUGGUGUAGCGGUGAAAUGCGCAGAUAUCAGGAGGAACACCGAUGGCGAAGGCAGGUCUCUGGGCAUUAACUGACGCUGAGGAGCGAAAGCAUGGGGAGCGAACAGG